UUCCGGUUGAUCCCGCCGGAGGUUACUGCUAUUGGUGUUCGACUAAGCCAUGCAAGUCAUAUGUUCCUCGUGAACAUGGCAUACUGCUCAGUAACACGUGGAUAACCUGCCCUUGGGUCUGGGAUAACCCCGGGAAACUGGGGAUAAUACCGGAUAACGCAUAUGUGCUGGAAUGCUUUAUGCGUAAAAUGGAUUCGUCCGCCCAAGGAUGGGUCUGCGGCCUAUCAGGUAGUAGUGGGUGUAAUGUACCUACUAGCCAACAACGGGUACGGGUUGUGAGAGCAAGAGCCCGGAGAUGGAUUCUGAGACAUGAAUCCAGGCCCUACGGGGCGCAGCAGGCGCGAAAACUUUACAAUGCGGGAAACCGUGAUAAGGGAACACCGAGUGCCAGCAUCAUAUGCUGGCUGUCCAGAUGUGUAAACUACAUCUGUUAGCAAGGGCCGGGCAAGACCGGUGCCAGCCGCCGCGGUAACACCGGCGGCCCGAGUGGUGACCGUUAUUAUUGGGUCUAAAGGGUCCGUAGCCGGUUUGGUCAGUCCUCCGGGAAAUCUGAUAGCUUAACUGUUAGGCUUUCGGGGGAUACUGCCAGGCUUGGAACCGGGAGAGGUAAGAGGUACUACAGGGGUAGGAGUGAAAUCUUGUAAUCCCUGUGAGACCACCUGUGGCGAAGGCGUCUUACCAGAACGGGUUCGACGGUGAGGGACGAAAGCUGGGGGCACGAACCGGAUUAGAUACCCGGGUAGUCCCAGCCGUAAACUAUGCUCGCUAGGUGUCAGGCAUGGCGCGACCGUGUCUGGUGCCGCAGGGAAGCCGUGAAGCGAGCCACCUGGGAAGUACGGCCGCAAGGCUGAAACUUAAAGGAAUUGGCGGGGGAGCACAACAACGGGUGGAGCCUGCGGUUUAAUUGGACUCAACGCCGGGAAGCUCACCGGAUAAGACAGCAGAAUGAUUGCCGGGCUGAAGACUCUGCAUGACUAGCUGAGAGGAGGUGCAUGGCC
rnacentral:rRNA from 1 species